CUGAAGGUGCUGAACACCUGCUAUUCCUGAUGAAGUCAGUGGGACUGUAGGUGUAGAGCCAUCCUCAGACAUUUGGUCCAAUAUAUUACUUUUCUACACCUGACUAACAAUGUAACAUAACCAUAGCGCCCUGUCUCUGGCUCCCAGGAAUCCAUGGUUGACAAAAGGAACUGAAAACCAGGGCGAGUGGAAGAUGAAAUCCCUGGAGAAUGAAUGUCCUCUGUCUGCAGAACUAGUAGAGUACAGGCAAAAGCAGUGAAAGAUUCCUCUUGCUGACUCCCUGAUCAUCUUCAGCCCUGUUUUGCAAGCACCACUUCCUGGGUAGGAGGGCAGGUCGGUCUCCAGGAAUCAUUAAAACCUUGGCUCCUCUGCUGAAAAUGGUAGUAGCAGCACUUGUGGUGGUAACACUGGUCUGCAAGGAAUUGAAA